CCAGCCAUUCCGUUGGCUGAAGCCAAUGCCAUCGGCUUUGUCAGUAAUGACAAUGUUCGAAAGCUGGCAUAAAUGGAACCCUACCUGGAGCCGAUUCCGCGAGGAAAAGGCGAAACUGCCAGCUACAGGGCGGUUAGGG
rnacentral:ncRNA from 1 species